ensembl:lncRNA
CAUCUGACGGGAAAUUAUGUCACCUACUCAAGUUCCGCCGGGAUCCGGCAGCCUACAUCGGCCGUUCCGACUCUAUGAUCCAGAAGCUGCAGGGGUGGUGUCGGUCUUAAUUGGAUUGUUCCAUAUUAUCCUGGCCAUGCCUGUUUACUACAUGGACAUUAGUUUAUAUUCCCUUUUUGUUCUCCCUCUCUGUACUGGUGCACUGUUCGUGGCUGGAGGAUCAUUCACUAUAGCAUAUGAAAAAUCUUCAAAAAACCAACUGAUGAAAGUUUGCGCCUACACUAACCUUGCUGGACUGCUGGGUGCGCUGUGUGGCCUCUGCUCCUACACUGUCGUGCUGUGCAUUGACCACGAUGCACAUGACAUGUUGGAAAGCUACUUCGUUGGCGUCAUCGUUUUGCUUUUGUUGUACGACGUUGCAGCGAUACCCCUCCAUUCUCUUCUUUGUUUUUCUGCAAUGAAAGGACUGAGGGUCUAACUCAACAACACGAAGAUUACAGCUCGUCCCUCUUUCCCGCAUCUGCUUCUUACUGCUUCGGCUCUCAGCUUAUGACGACGGUUUAUAAUAUGAUUUGCGGUAUACAUGCUACUGAAACUAUAUAUUUGCGUACUAGCCAUGCUGAAUAAGUCUAAUGAUAGUAAAUGGUUUUCGUACAUGAUUAGCAUCGGGUAUCCCGUCUUGAAUGGAGACCUCCUAACCCCGCCCGCUCAACGCAACGCUAAUGGAUUGCUCCUGUUUUCGCAAUUCCUGAUGUAUCUGUAAAUUGCCAAUAAAAUUUUUAUUCGCUUCCA